AGACUCCCUCCACCGCCUAUUCAUCCAGGUGAUUACUUCUUUGCAUGAAAACAUUGAGGAUGAGUUUCAGUCUUUAUGCCUUGAAACUCAGGCGGGAAACACUCUUGAUACUGUGGAGCAACUUGUGGAAGAACAAGGCCUGGAUCCAUUGUCUUCAGAUAAUGAGAGGACCCUGCGGAUACUUGAAGCUGUACAGCCAUUUCCCUGGACAUGGUCAGAGCAGAGUACUUCAUGUACUUAACAGCUCUAGAUUUUAUGUUCACAUUCUGAUU